rnacentral:rRNA from 1 species
GACGAACGCUGGCGGCAUGCCUUACACAUGCAAGUCGAACGGCAGCGGGGGAGAAGCUUGCUUUUCCUGCCGGCGAGUGGCGAACGGGUGAGUAAUACAUCGGAGCGUGCCCUGUAGUGGGGGAUAACUAGUCGAAAGAUUAGCUAAUACCGCAUACGACCUGAGGGUGAGAGUGGGGGACCGCAAGGCCUCAUGCUAUAGGAGCGGCCGAUGUCUGAUUAGCUAGUUGGUGGGGUAAAGGCCUACCAAGGCGACGAUCAGUAGCUGGUCUGAGAGGACGAUCAGCCACACUGGGACUGAGACACGGCCCAGACUCCUACGGGAGGCAGCAGUGGGGAAUUUUGGACAAUGGGCGAAAGCCUGAUCCAGCAAUGCCGCGUGUGUGAAGAAGGCCUUCGGGUUGUAAAGCACUUUUGUCCGGAAAGAAAUGGCUCUGGUUAAUACCUGGGGUCGAUGACGGUACCGGAAGAAUAAGGACCGGCUAACUACGUGCCAGCAGCCGCCGUAAUAC